rnacentral:lncRNA from 1 species
UCUCUAAAUUGAUUAAAUCUUCUAAAUUAUGAGAUUCCCAAAAUGAGCUGAUUAUGGUGAUAACUAGAUCAUAGCCUCCCAUUAAGGUGAAUGGUAAUAAAUCCAUUAUUUCUGAUUGACAUUGUAGAAGUCAUCCGUCUGGUGUUCUCUCUAAAUGAUGGAAUUAUCAUUUAUCAUAUGAUGACUCUAUUGUACUAUCCGAUGAAUAGUUGGA